rnacentral:pre_miRNA from 1 species
AGUAGAAUAGCUGGGUCAAAUGGUGGUUCCAUUCCAAGUUUUCUGAGGAAUAUACACACUGCUUUCCAUAGUUGUUCCACCAAUUUGCAGUCCCACCAGCAAU